UCAUGUAUCACUUCCGGGGGUAAAGCACUGUUAUGGCUAGGGGGUCAUUGCGAUUUACCAAACCAUGGCAAACUCUGAAUACCGGAAAGUGCCAGCAUGGGAGACAGACAGUGGGUGCUAACGUCCAUUGUCAAGAGGGAAACAACCCAGACCGCCAGCUAAGGUCCCAAAUGAUCAGUUAAGUGGUAAACGAAGUGGGAAGGCAUAGACAGCCAGGAUGUUGGCUUAGAAGCAGCCAUCAUUUAAAGAAAGCGUAAUAGCUCACUGGUCGAGUCGUCCUGCGCGGAAGAUGUAACGGGGCUCAAACUGAUAACCGAAGCUGCGGAUGGGCACAGUCAAAUGUGUCCGUGGUAGGGGAGCGUUCUGUAGGUCUGUGAAGGUGUGUCGAGAGGCAUGCUGGAGAUAUCAGAAGUGCGAAUGCUGACAUGAGUAGCGAUAAAGCGGGUGAAAAGCCCGCUCGCCGAAAAGCCCAAGGUUUCCUACGCAACGUUCAUCGGCGUAGGGUGAGUCGGCCCCUAAGGCGAGGCUGAAAAGCGUAGUCGAUGGGAAACGGGUUAAAAUUCCCGUACUUUUGUGUAGUGCGAUGUGGGACGGAGAAGGUUAGGUCAGCAGACUGUUGGAAUAGUCUGUUCAAGCCGGUAGGUGUGAAGAGUAGGCAAUCCGCUCUUCUUUAAACACCGAGACGUGAUAACGAGGGUCUACGGACCUGAAGUGACUGAUACCACGCUUCCAGGAAAAGCCACUAAGCUUCAGCUACACAAGAACCGUACCGCAAACCGACACAGGUGGGCAGGAUGAGAAUUCUAAGGCGCUUGAGAGAACUCAGGAGAAGGAACUCGGCAAAUUGAUACCGUAACUUCGGGAGAAGGUAUGCCUGUUGUGGUGUAAGACUUCGCGUCUGAAGCUAUGACAGGUCGCAGAGAAUCGGUGGCUGCGACUGUUUAACAAAAACACAGCACUGUGCCAACACGAAAGUGGACGUAUACGGUGUGACGCCUGCCCGGUGCCGGAAGGUUAAGUGAUGGGGUGCAAGCUCUUGAUCGAAGCCCCGGUAAACGGCGGCCGUAACUAUAACGGUCCUAAGGUAGCGAAAUUCCUUGUCGGGUAAGUUCCGACCCGCACGAAUGGCGUAACGAUGGCCACACUGUCUCCUCCUGAGACUCAGCGAAGUUGAAGUGUUUGUGAAGAUGCAAUCUACCCGCUGCUAGACGGAAAGACCCCGUGAACCUUUACUGUAGCUUUGCAUUGGACUUUGAAGUGGUUUGUGUAGGAUAGGUGGGAGGCUAUGAAGCCUGGACGCUAGUUCAGGUGGAGCCAACCUUGAAAUACCACCCUGACCCCUUUGAGGUUCUAACCUUGGUCCGUGAUCCGGAUUGGGGACAGUGCAUGGUAGGCAGUUUGACUGGGGCGGUCUCCUCCCAAAGUGUAACGGAGGAGUUCGAAGGUUACCUAGGUACGGUCGGAAAUCGUGCUGAUAGUGCAAUGGCAAAAGGUAGCUUAACUGCGAGACCGACAAGUCGAGCAGGUGCGAAAGCAGGACAUAGUGAUCCGGUGGUUCUGUAUGGAAGGGCCAUCGCUCAACGGAUAAAAGGUACUCCGGGGAUAACAGGCUGAUACCGCCCAAGAGUUCACAUCGACGGCGGUGUUUGGCACCUCGAUGUCGGCUCAUCACAUCCUGGGGCUGUAGCCGGUCCCAAGGGUAUGGCUGUUCGCCAUUUAAAGUGGUACGUGAGCUGGGUUCAAAACGUCGUGAGACAGUUUGGUCCCUAUCUGCAGUGGGCGUUGGAAGUUUGACGGGGGCUGCUCCUAGUACGAGAGGACCGGAGUGGACGAACCUCUGGUGUACCGGUUGUCACGCCAGUGGCAUCGCCGGGUAGCUAAGUUCGGAAGAGAUAACCGCUGAAAGCAUCUAAGCGGGAAACUCGCCUGAAGAUGAGACUUCCCUGGAGGCUAGACCUCCCUGAAGAGUCGUUCGAGACCAGGACGUUGAUAGGUCGGGUGUGGAAGCGCUGUGAGGCGUGAAGCUAACCGAUACUAAUUGCUCGUGAGGCUUGAUCCUAU
rnacentral:rRNA from 1 species